rnacentral:lncRNA from 1 species
UUUCUUUUGGUUGCUGAAAGAGUGUGUGUCACUGCCGUUGGAUGCUUUCCUGCAAAGGUUCUCCUAGUCUGUAAUAUGGAAGACGAAGAAAUUGCAAAACUCUCCAAUCAGGGCCAGAAAAAGGCAAGAGACAGAAAGUUGCUGGUGGUGGAUUGUCUCCCAGUGACAACUGCUAGCACCACAGGGCUAGAACUGGUAAAAGACAAAGCAAAACCGCCAUGCCUUUGGGGAAAUGACUCUGCUACCUUGCCAAGAAACAUGUUUGGCAGGUUUAUAAGCCAAGGUGGAGUUGAAGUUCUCUGAGCCCUUCUGCCCUCCUUGAAAGAUGUCAGGGCAGAGGGAAGGCUGUAAUGCGACCUGCCAAGUGUACAAGAGGCCAGCUCUUCCACAAGGAGAACAAGCGCACUUCUCAGUCUCCAGAAAUGGUCCAGAAGAGAUGAGAAAAUGCUGUUACGAGCAAGCUGUCUUAAUUUUCCCUUCCCCGUUUUCUCAGAUGAUUUAAAACAUUCACCUGCAUUCACGUGGGAUAUUGGGACAUUCACGAACAGAGCAGCCACGUGUCCUCUCCUUCGCUUCCAGCAGACUGGAAAGGGCUGAGUGGAGCGGCAGGUUUCCUCAAAGCUGAGAUCAGCCCUGGGAGGCCCUGCUCCUCCAGGCCCUGUCCCAGGAGGACCUGGGUGGCACCUCUUGUGUAGCCAGGGUGAAGGGAGCCCCAAUUACCUGCUGUUUGCUGGGGAUUACUGGCACGCAGCCGGUAACUGCUCGGUGGCUGUGUGACAGCGUGCCACGAGCGUGGCAUAAUUCCCCUGCCUGCAGAGUUCAGUUGUCUCCGCUUCUGUCUCAAGCUGCGGUGGAUUUGGGUGCAGGAGCUGUGUGUGUGGGAGGUGGGCUCCACGGGGCUUGCAAAAGCUGCUACAGAGCAAAUAUAGACUCUGCAUGCUGCCGGGGAAUCCUGUAGAGGGAGGCCGGUGGCAUUAAGGUUUUCUGAUGUUGUUUGAGUGACUUACACCGUGCUUCGGUACCCUCCCCUUGGGAAGGGUGACUUAAAAAAUCAGAAAUGCUCCCCAG